AAAAAAAUUGAUAAUAAAAAUAAUAAAAAAUAAUGUGAUAAAUAUAAUAAUAAAAAGACUUUGAUUUUUUUAUAUUGAUUUUCCUUGAUUUUUAUACUAAAAAACAUGAAAAAUCAAUAAUAUAAUAAUUAUUAAAAACAAAAUAAUAAAAAAUUCAAAAAUAAAUAAAUAAGUAAGUGCAAUUUUAAUUAUAAAAUAA
rnacentral:lncRNA from 1 species